rnacentral:rRNA from 1 species
AGAGUUUGAUCAUGGCUCAGAUUGAACGCUGGCGGCAGGCCUAACACAUGCAAGUCGAGCGGUAGCACAGAGAGCUUGCUCUCGGGUGACGAGCGGCGGACGGGUGAGUAAUGUCUGGGAAACUGCCUGAUGGAGGGGGAUAACUACUGGAAACGGUAGCUAAUACCGCAUAAUGUCGCAAGACCAAAGUGGGGGACCUUCGGGCCUCAUGCCAUCAGAUGUGCCCAGAUGGGAUUAGCUAGUAGGUGGGGUAACGGCUCACCUAGGCGACGAUCCCUAGCUGGUCUGAGAGGAUGACCAGCCACACUGGAACUGAGACACGGUCCAGACUCCUACGGGAGGCAGCAGUGGGGAAUAUUGCACAAUGGGCGCAAGCCUGAUGCAGCCAUGCCGCGUGUGUGAAGAAGGCCUUCGGGUUGUAAAGCACUUUCAGCGGGGAGGAAGGCGGUAAGGUUAAUAACCUCACCGAUUGACGUUACCCGCAGAAGAAGCACCGGCUAACUCCGUGCCAGCAGCCGCGGUAAUACGGAGGGUGCAAGCGUUAAUCGGAAUUACUGGGCGUAAAGCGCACGCAGGCGGUCUGUCAAGUCGGAUGUGAAAUCCCCGGGCUCAACCUGGGAACUGCAUUCGAAACUGGCAGGCUAGAGUCUUGUAGAGGGGGGGAGAAUUCCAGGUGUAGCGGUGAAAUGCGUAGAGAUCUGGAGGAAUACCGGUGGCGAAGGCGGCCCCCUGGACAAAGACUGACGCUCAGGUGCGAAAGCGUGGGGAGCAAACAGGAUUAGAUACCCUGGUAGUCCACGCCGUAAACGAUGUCGAUUUGGAGGUUGUGCCCUUGAGGCGUGGCUUCCGGAGCUAACGCGUUAAAUCGACCGCCUGGGGAGUACGGCCGCAAGGUUAAAACUCAAAUGAAUUGACGGGGGCCCGCACAAGCGGUGGAGCAUGUGGUUUAAUUCGAUGCAACGCGAAGAACCUUACCUGGUCUUGACAUCCACAGAACUUUCCAGAGAUGGAUUGGUGCCUUCGGGAACUGUGAGACAGGUGCUGCAUGGCUGUCGUCAGCUCGUGUUGUGAAAUGUUGGGUUAAGUCCCGCAACGAGCGCAACCCUUAUCCUUUGUUGCCAGCGGUCCGGCCGGGAACUCAAAGGAGACUGCCAGUGAUAAACUGGAGGAAGGUGGGGAUGACGUCAAGUCAUCAUGGCCCUUACGACCAGGGCUACACACGUGCUACAAUGGCAUAUACAAAGAGAAGCGACCUCGCGAGAGCAAGCGGACCUCAUAAAGUAUGUCGUAGUCCGGAUUGGAGUCUGCAACUCGACUCCAUGAAGUCGGAAUCGCUAGUAAUCGUAGAUCAGAAUGCUACGGUGAAUACGUUCCCGGGCCUUGUACACACCGCCCGUCACACCAUGGGAGUGGGUUGCAAAAGAAGUAGGUAGCUUAACCUUCGGGAGGGCGCUUACCACUUUGUGAUUCAUGACUGGGGUGAAGUCGUAACAAGGUAACCGUAGGGGAACCUGCGGUUGGAUCACCU